CCUACGGGGGCAGCAGUAAGGAAUAUUGGUCAAUGGACGCAAGUCUGAACCAGCCAUGCCGCGUGCAGGAUGAAGGCCCUCUGGGUUGUAAACUGCUUUUAUAGGGGACGAAAAAGGGACUUUCUAGUUCAACUGACGGUACCCUAGGAAUAAGCACCGGCUAACUCCGUGCCAGCAGCCGCGGUAAUACGGAGGGUGCAAGCGUUAUCCGGAUUUACUGGGUUUAAAGGGUGCGUAGGUGGGUCGGUAAGUCAGCGGUGAAAUCUUCAAGCUUAACUUGGAAACUGCCAUUGAUACUAUCGAUCUUGAAUCAUCUGGAGGUAAGCGGAAUAUGUCAUGUAGCGGUGAAAUGCUUAGAUAUGACAUAGAACACCAAUUGCGAAGGCAGCUUACUACGGAUGUAUUGACACUGAGGCACGAAAGCGUGGGGAUCAAACAGGAUUAGAUACCCUGGUAGUCCACGCCCUAAACGAUGGAUACUCGACAUACGUGAUAUACUAUGUGUGUUNUGAGNGAAGANAUAAGUAUACCACCUACGGAAGUACGAGCGCGAGAGUAGUAACGUACGAAGAAGUUAGUACGGACGUAGAGACGUUAGCCGACGGACGACGACGAGGGAGGAGG
rnacentral:rRNA from 1 species